UCGGCAUCAAUAUGGUGACCUCCUGGGAGCGGGGAGCCACCGGGUUGCCUAAGGAGAGGUGAACCGGCCCAGGUCGGAAACGGAGCAGGUCAAAACUCCCGUGCUGG
rnacentral:sRNA from 1 species